rnacentral:lncRNA from 1 species
GACUAGGAAAGGAGAAGAAAAAGUCCCUGUUGAGAAGUUCAUUGAAACAUGUUGUUAUGACCGCGACCCAGUUGUAUCAGUGUCAUUGUCAGUAACCUAGUGCCUAGCAUGGUACGGGGCACAUAGUUACACCAGUAAAGCAUAAUGAUUUCUGGAUCUGUCUCUUCCUGUGCAGCUCUUCAUACCAGUGGCCCAGCUCAUACCAGGUGCCUGAAGGAAGCAGGUUGUGAAGAUCUGUGUCCUGAUGGCUGCUGAAGCUUCUACUUCAGAUUCAAGGACAACAGUCCUCAGGAGACCCCACCCCCUCACAUCCCUGGUGGCGUAUGAUACCUGGCACAUAAGCCUAAAACUUAUCCAAAGGGAUAACAUAACAACUUUGGUCUUAAUGCCUACUAAUUGGAUGGAUGGACGGAUGGAUGGAUGGAUGCAGAAGGUGUCAAACAUGUGCUGCUGUUCAUACCAGUGGCCCAGCUCAUACCAGGUGCCUGAAGGAGGCAGGUUCUGAGGAUCUGAGUCCUGAUGGCUGCUGAAGCUUCUACUUCAGAUUCAAGGGCAGCAGUCCUCAGGAGACCCCAACACCUCACAAUUUAUGUGUUUCAUUUUCUCUUCUUUCUUAGGAUAUCAAUUCUACUUUUUAUUUUUCUUUUUAGUGGCUGCCCUUGGGUUUGCAAUAUACAUUUACUAACCCGAGUCCACUUUCAGAUAAUACUAUACUGCUUCACAGGGAGAGCAAGUACCCUACAAUAACAAAGUUAGCCUAAUUCUUUCCUCCAUCCCUUAUUUCAUUGAUGUUAUUCAUUUCACUUCACGUAUACAUAAGAAUAUAUCAGCAUAUAUAUUUAUAUAUAAGCAUAUGGAAUUGAAUAUAUUGUUGCUGUUUUAACUUUGAACAAACUAUUAUCUGUUAGAUCAAUUAAAAACAAGAAAAAGAAUGUUUUAUUUUACCUUCAUUUAUAACUUCCUUAAGGAUUUUCCUUUCUUCAUGUAGAUCAGAGUAUCUGACCUACGUAAUUUUUUUCUCUCAAAGAACUUCUAUUAUUUCUUGCAAGGCAGGUUAACUGGCAACACUGUUUCUCAAUUUUUUUUUUUCUGAGAAAGNNNNNNNNNNNNNNNNNNNNNNNNNNNNNNNNNNNNNNNNNNNNNNNNNNNNUUGAGGCAAUUUUUUGCUCUCAAUACUAAAUUUCUCACUCUUGCUUGCAUGGUUUCUGAAAAGUCAGAUAUAAUUCUUAUCUUUGCUCCUCUAUAGGAAGGGUGUUUUUUGCCUCUGGCUUCUUCCAAGAUUUUUUCCUCUGCACUUGGCUCAAUGUUAAACAUUUACUAAAAUGAAUAUGGAUUAUUUUUAUGAUUAAAAACUCUAUCUCCUAAAACCUCUGCUACCUAUAAAAUCUUUCAGUUAAAAGGCAUUGUAAGCUAUAAAAUUAAUCAAGGCUUAGGGAAAUGUUUAUACUUUCUUCUUUCUCCCCUUAGGAUAAUCACUAUCCGGAAUUACAUGCGUAUCAUUCCCCUGUAUUUCUUUCUCACUUUACUCCAAGUGAGAGAUUUUCUAAACAAAAUGUGUAUGUGUGUGUGUGUGUGUGUCUUAUAGAUAAUAUCUGCAUAUAAUUUAUUUAUGUAUAUAGUGUGAAUAUGUGCUUAUAUGUAUAGUGUGUAUUUAUGCACACACACAGAAAACAUGAUCCUUACUCUCAAGAAAAUGUGGUGAGACGUUCAAAGGGACAUGUCUGUCAAGCUCCUGACACACUAUUGGAUGCAUCACCCACAAUGUUAGUUUUUGCUUCCUUUCCAUCCCAAUUGCUCUGAGCUUUAACAAGGAUGUGUUUCUUAACCCAUUUAUUUCUGCUUUUACCUUUAUUUAUCUUUUAUUCUCAUUUUAUAAUUUACGUUGUUAUUCUUUAUCGUGCUUUUUGAAUUUUGUGUUUAAUUCAUUUAUUUUUAUUGAUAAAUGUAUUUAUUGUUUCAUUUUUAGCAAACUUCAUUAAGGUAUAAUUGAAAUAUAACACUGGUUUUAAGGAGUACAACAUAAUGAUUGGUUAUAUGUAUAUAUUGCAAAAUAAUUGUUAUAAUAAAUUUAGUUAAUAUCCACCA